rnacentral:rRNA from 1 species
AACGAAGCAAUUGAAGGAAGUUUUCGGAUGGAAUUCGAUUGACUGAGUGGCGGACGGGUGAGUAACGCGUGGGUAACCUGCCUCAUACAGGGGGAUAACAGUUGGAAACGGCUGCUAAUACCGCAUAAGCGCACAGUACCGCAUGGUACGGUGUGAAAAACUCCGGUGGUACAAGAUGGACCCGCGUCUGAUUAGGUAGUUGGUGGGGUAACGGCCUACCAAGCCGACGAUCAGUAGCCGACCUGAGAGGGUGACCGGCCACAUUGGAACUGAGACACGGUCCAAACUCC